ACGGGACACCUGCAUCUGCCAACAAGACUGGAAGCAGGGACAGAGACGGCGAAGUUUGACGGUCUGGAAAGCAGAGACCAGCAGGGCUGACUGCUUGGGAGCACCAAAUAUCCGGACAGCGCCUCUCGGGAGGUCCGAGAAGAGAACCGCGAUCUGUUUCAGCACCGGGGCUCAGGACAGUUCCCAGCGGGCUCCGUUUCGUCUCCAGAACCCUGGACAGCUCCUCCAGCUUGGAAUGCACUCCCUCCACCUCCAACCAGAGCUCCCCACAACUGACCCUGCCUUCUUCUGCAAGCUCCAUUUCAUCAAGGGAAACGAUCCUUAUUGCCUCACCAUUUCCCACGUGAAGUCUGUAUUGACAUUCUCAUAGACCUGGGAUAUUGUGUCUGCAGCACAUAGUCCAAUUAUUUUCAUGUUAUCUACUGACAGGUCUAUUUGUCUCCCUGUUACACUGUGAGCUCCGUGAGGGCAGAAACAAUGUUAGUAUUUUCACUGCUGUGUCCCCAGCGCCUGGUCCGGGGCCCGGCACACAGCAGGCAUAUAAUAAGCAUGUGUUGAAUCAAUAAAGGCAUCAAAGAAUAAACCAAUACAUCAAUCAAUAAA
rnacentral:lncRNA from 1 species